CCUACGGGGGGCAGCAGUUUUUGAUAUUUCACAAUUUUUUUAACCCUUAUCCCUCUCCUCCUCUUUUUUGAAGAAGCUCCUCUUCCCUUAAAGCCCUGUCAGCAGGGAAGAAAAUGACGGUACCUGAAGAAGAAGCCCCGGCUAACUACGUGCCAGCAGCCGCGGUAAUACGUAGGGGGCAAGCGUUAUCCGGAUUUACUGGGUGUAAAGGGGGCGCAGACGGCGAUGCAAGCCAGGAGUGAAAGCCCGGGGCCCAACCCCGGGACUGCUCUUGGAACUGCGUGGCUGGAGUGCAGGAGGGGCAGGCGGAAUGCCUGGUGUAGCGGUGAAAUGCGUAGAUAUCAGGAGGAACACCGGUGGCGAAGGCGGCCUGCUGGACUGCAACUGACGUUGAGGCCCGAAAGCGUGGGGAGCAAACAGGAUUAGAUACCCGGGUAGUC
rnacentral:rRNA from 1 species